CCUUUGCCGGCGACCGGCGCACGGGUGAGUAACACGUAUGCAACCUGCCCUCUUCAGGGGGACAACCUUCCGAAAGGGAGGCUAAUCCCGCGUAUAUCGGUUUCGGGCAUCCGAGAUCGAGGAAAGAUUCAUCGGAAGAGGAUGGGCAUGCGGCGCAUUAGCUAGACGGCGGGGUAACGGCCCACCGUGGCGACGAUGCGUAGGGGUUCUGAGAGGAAGGUCCCCCACAUUGGAACUGAGACACGGUCCAAACUCCUACGGGAGGCAGCAG
rnacentral:rRNA from 1 species